UACGGAGGGUGCAAGCGUUAUCCGGAAUCACUGGGGUUUAAAAGGGGUGCGUAGGCGGCGCUAUAAGUCAGAGGUGAAAAGGCCACCGCUUAACGGUGGGACUGCCUUUGAUACUGUAGUGCUUGAAUCAGGCUGAGGUCGGCGGAAUGUGACAUGUAGCGGUGAAAAUGCUUAGAUAUGUCAUAGAACACCAAUUGCGAAGGCAGCUGACUAGACCUUGAUUGACGCUGAGGCACGAAAAGCGUGGGGGAGCGAAACAGGAUUAGAUACCCCGGGGUAGUCC
rnacentral:rRNA from 1 species